rnacentral:lncRNA from 1 species
ACCUGUAUGCCAUACCAGUGUCUCCACACUCCUUGGUUAAGAGGACAACCAACCCAUAUGGCCUACAGUGACCUAUGCUCGAUAGAAGCUAUCAUCCUUAUUAAUAGUCCAUCAUUUGGUUGUGAACAGUUUUAAGGACUAAUCGAUAAAUUCUCUCUUUAUCGAACCUAAAUAGUCCUAAGGACUUCAUCACAACAACAGAGUUCAUUAGAAGAUGAAAACUUAU